AUGGAGCCUCUCCUACAUGGACGGCGCGCGGCCUUCGCGCGACAUCAGGUGGGGCGAAGGGAAAAUGGAGGCUUUAUGUCUUCUGCUGUUUUCAUUUGGGCUGCGGCUGAGGCAAGCGUGUGGUGUGCUGUGUUGUGCAGUGAGGAGGAGCGGAAGUGGCUGGCGGAGGCGGUGGAGCGGCACAUGGCGGAGGACGUGGUGGGCCGUCUGAGGGAGAUCGCGCUGCUGAUGAGAACCCCGCUCUCCGUCCUGGAGGCGCAGGGCAUCACGCCCGAGGACAUCGAAGAUUUGCUCGCAGAGCUGCAAGUACAUGUCGAGUCUAUCGACAUAGCAAAUGAUCUGCAUUCUGUUGGUGGCUUGGUUCCAGUUAUUAGGUACCUCAGAAAUACUAAUGCACGCAUCCGAGCCAAAGCAGCUGAUGUGGUAACAACGGUUGUUCAAAACAAUCCGACUAGCCAGCAGCUGGUCAUGGAAGCUAGUGGUUUUGAGCCACUUGUAUCCAAUUUUACAUCAGAUCCUGAUCUCACUGCACGCAUAAAGGCUCUUGGUGCACUAUCCUCCUUGAUUCGGAACAACAAACCAGGAGUUGCUGCAUUUCGUCUAGCCAAUGGAUAUGCAGGACUGAGAGACGCCUUAAAUACAGAGAGUGCAAGGUUUCAGAGGAAAGCACUAAGCCUGACUCACCAUCUGCUCAGUGAAAGCCAUUCCGAUUGCUCGGUAUUUGCACAGCUAGGAUUUCCUCGUCUUAUGAUGCGUUUGGUAUCCAGUGAUGACUCUGGUGUUCGAGAAGCGGCAUUAGGAGGCCUGCUUGAGCUUGCAAAGGACACAACACUGGGGAAUAGGAGUUUACUAGCAGAGCAGGACAGGCUACGACGGCUUCUCUGGGGGCGUAUACAGAGCAUAAGGAUGAUGGCUCCUGAAGAUCUUGAUGCUGCACGAGAGGAAAGGCAACUCGUUGACUCAUUGUGGAUUGCAUGCUACCAUGAGCCAUCCACACUUCACCGGGAAGGAUUUGUCGUUCUGCCUGGAGAGGAAUCUUUUGAACAACCUCCUGAUGUGGCUGGUAGAUUCUUCGAGCCACUGCGCCGAGCUCCAUUGCAGAGGGCACCUCCUAGUCCUGAUGAGAGAUCAGAUCCAGGAAAUGGAACUGCGGGAGGAAUUAUGCUGCUUCUAGGUCCAGCAGCAGGUAACUCAGAGUAA
rnacentral:rRNA from 1 species